CAGCCCCCAGCAGACUGACUGCAAACCACGGGCAGCAGAGACAAGCCAUCCCAGCCCGGCCUUGCCCAACUCGUCAACCCAGAGAACUGCGAGGCACUGAAGCAUUCUAGUUUGAAGCCACUGUUCCAGAGUGUGUGUUAUGGAGCAAAAGAUAAUCAAGGUCAGCCAGGUGAGGCAGACAUUGUUACCUUCAUUUACCCUUGACAGAGGAAAGCACUGAGGCACGAGAAAGAGAAGGAACUUGACCAAGAUGGCAGAACAAGAGCCACCAGGAUUACCUGCUGUGUAUUAAACUGUUCUUUUGGUGAUUUAAUACUGUGGAGGGAUGGCCUGAACUGAGCUUGAGCCCUGAGAAGUUGGUGCCAGGAGCUCAUUUGAUACAAGAGGCCACUGUGGCUUGGAGAGAGUAGGAGUUGGAAGGCUACCAGGUG